rnacentral:lncRNA from 1 species
CAACAGAAUCCUAAGAAAAGUGUUAUUUGAUUCACUCAGGUUCAGAUACUAGUGACUAAAAACAAGUGUACUUAGUCUCUCAAGACUUUAUGGGAAACAAUCAACAAAGUGAAAAGCCAAUCCACAGAAUGGGAGAAAAUAUCUGUGAACUACCCAUCUGACAAGGGAUUAAUAAUCAGAAUAUAUAAGGAGCUCAAACAACUCUAUAGGAGAAAAUCUAUUAGGUUUUUGCAAAAGUAAUUGCGGUUUUUGCCAUUACUUUUAGAUUACUUUCACACCAAUUUAAUAGUAAUCUAAUUUAAAUAAUAGGCCUAUUAGUGAGAAUGUAAAUUAGCACAACUACAAUGGAGAAUACUUUGACAGUUCCUCAAAAACCUAAAAAUACACCUGUGAUAUGAUGCAGCAAUUAGGUUGCUUUUCUUUUUUUCAAAAAAAGUAAGUAU